ensembl:lncRNA
GUCGAUCAAGCGGUGGUUUAGCGAUACUGUUGAAGUUUGAGCCCGGUCUAGUCCUAGAGAUAUAGCCUCAGACGAAGCUACCAAACAUUUAAAAAUGGAACUAUCAAGAAGAAAACAUCUCGCCUUGGAAGGUCACUUGAUUAACUAUCAAAGUCUUACGGAUGAGUCUACAGCUAUACACAGUCAAAAUGCAGGGGCGCCUGUAAGAGGAGAACGCUAUGAGGAAAAUGAUGAAGCUAAACAGAAUGUAAACAUGCGAGAUCAGGAUGAUUCGUACGAAGAGCCAAGGAAAGAGGAAUUAGAGACGGGUCACUGUGAGCAUGCCAGAUCAAUGGAGUCUGUCUGUGUUCUGCAGUGCCCUCAAGUGGUUCCAGUGUGACCUUUCCUCCUUGUCAGCAUUCCAGGGAUGGUCCAUCCUCUACACUGCAGACAGGAAACACCUGACCAGGCUUCAGGAUCAGGGGUCAGUUAAUCAUCAGGAAGCAUGGUGUUUAUUUGAAAAUAAAUAUGUUUUUUUUUUAAAGCAGGGCGUUCGAUUUCUGUGAAAGUCCAAAGUAAGAAAUGGAGAGUACAGUACACAGGAA